ensembl:lncRNA
GGGGAAUCUAAAAUUUUGAUUUUCGUCUCUUGACAGGAGGGGACUGGGCCUGAGAACUCUGGAGGUCUUUGGUAAGUAAUCACAAGGGGAGGGGGGCAAGGGCUCUUCCAACUCUGGAGGUCUUUGGUAAGUAAUCACAAGGGGAGGGGGGCAAGGGCUCUUCCGUCCUUUCCCAGAACUUCCACCAGUCUCCUGACUAAUCCUAAGUCCUUCCUUAACGGCUUGAUUUCCCGUGGCGCCCUUCUCUUCUCCUGAAGGCAACAAGAACACACAAUGAGUAAUGGGUAAAACGGAGAAUGCCUUGCUCCUAGCUUCUUUGCUCUUUGGGUUGUACUUCACCAGCGUCUGGACAGCUCCUCCACUCCCAUAGACCUCCUAGGUAGAUAUAAGGUAACACACAAAUCCCUGAGGGCACAGGUAAGUAACAAAGGUAAGGAUGUAGCAAGGUAACUAGGCCAUGCCCCUGGAUGUCCACCGGUAUAUCAGAAGCGAGUAACUUUUUACUCGUAACACAGAUAGGUAUUGAGCAAGGUGACUGACUCUUCACACUAGGCUUACUGAGCGGGUUCCAGAGCAAUGGCUUUUAACUCGUGCAGGCGGAUAAGUAUUCAACAAGUAGCUGUAUCUUCACACUGGGCUUUACAGGGCGUAUUCAAGGGCAAUAGCUUUUAGCUCGUACAGACAGGUAAGUAUUCAACAAGUGACUGUAUCUUCACGCUGGGCUUUACAGGGCGUAUUCAAGGGCAAUAGCUUUCCCCACAAUAUCCGCACAAUACCUUGUUUUGCUUUCGCGCUUCACCUUCAAGCUGGGUCCGGAGAACGGAGUUAUAGGCGGGCAUAGGUGGGAUAGGUGGGCACCGCCACGGCAGCCUACGUUCUCUCCAACAGGAACUUUUCUCGGCCUGGAGGGCGAGUACAGACAACAGGGACACGGCACAGCACUGCAAAGCUUUGGUGUACACACGUCAAAGACAGACUCACCCACUGCACUACACACACUUCAGUGAUUUUUAAGGUCGGUACUCCACGCCCGGUCGGAUUUCGUCCUGGAGGAGUUUGCAGUCGCUGUCACGGUAAGUGCUCCAAACUUUACGGUGUGGCCACAGCCAAAUAACAUCCAUUCACCCACGCUCUACUUCGGCUCACCCACUCGUCUCGUCCUCCAACGAUGGGGCCGCUCAACAAGCUGUUAAUCACUCCAACAGGUAUUAGUUAUCCAUAUCCAAGUAUGAGCAAUGAUAUGUAAGCAAUCCAAUGUACUCACAGUCUUCGCGAUACUGAUCCUCU